rnacentral:misc_RNA from 1 species
AAGUCGUAACAAGGUUUCCGUAGGUGAACCUGCGGAAGGAUCAUUAUUGAGAGAGGGGCUUCGCGCUCCCGGGGGCUCCGGCCCACCACUCUUCAACCCAUCUGGUUAACCUACCUUUGUUGCUUUGGCGGGCCUUGAGUUCAUGCUCAUGCCAGCCCGGCCGCACCCGGGCCGGGUGUGCCCAGUCAGAGGUCCUUUUAAAUUCUGUCUAUUGGUGUCGUCCGAGCUUAUAUUCAAAUCAUCAAAA